AUUGAAACUCUUUUAUUUUUUUUAGAUUUAGAUUUUUUUAUAUUUUAAUUUUAUUUAUUUAAGAUAAUUAAAUUAAAAUGUCACAUGUCCUAUAGUGGGUUGAAUUGAUUUGCAAUUUCCAAUUUACAGUUGGUUGAUUUUAUUUGAAAGCGACUGGAUUUGUUAUUAGAUUAGAUUAAUUAAAAGAUUGAGUACUAGAUAAGCAUCACUCGUUUAUUAAUUGGAUCUAAAUUUGAAAUUGUUAAAAAAUAAGGGUAAUAAGAACUAAAAGUAGACGUUAGAGAUAUUUGGGAUCAAAUAGAUUAAAGAAAGAUAGUAACAUACCAUAGUAUAAGGGUGUCAAAAGAGAGUGUGUGAACCUGGAUAAUCCAACGGCCCUGUUUUCAAUUGUGUAAUCAUAUCAGUUAUGGAGGGAACAAGCUCAUAACUCGGUGUGAAUUAAGCUUGAUCAAAUAUUGAUGGCGAAUUUCAGCUUUGUAAGAUAUUGCUUAAUUGGUAAUAAUCUUGUGUUUCUAAUAAAAUCUGUUCAAUUUCUUUCAUAAUUAUCAAUCAACUCGAGUUUAUUGAUGUUUGUUCUUAUGCAACCAAUCGAAGCGAUAUGUAUAGAUCCUUCCCAUUACUUGGCGAACCUCCUUUCAAAAUGCAUUCGAACUAAUGAUCUCAAUCUUGGGAGACUCAUCCAUUCACGGCUGAUAAAGACAGCUUUAAACUUUAACACAUUCCUCGCCAAUAGAUUGAUUGACAUGUAUGCUAAAUGUAGCUCUGUAGAAUAUGCGCAACAGGCAUUUAAUGAAGUAUCAAACAAGAAUGCUCAAUCUUGGAACAUAAUACUCUCAGCUUAUUGUAAAAAGGGUCUUUUUAGAGAAACCUUCCAGGUGCUCGAUGUAAUGCCUGAACCAAAUGUUGUGAGCUAUAACUCGAUUAUAUCUAGCUUAACUCAUCAUGGGUUUCCAGGAAAAGCUAUGGGCUUUUUCAAAAGAACGCGAAUACGAUGUAGAGAUGAGUUCUUGAUUGACGAGUUUACAGUUGUUGGUGUGGUAAAUGCUUGCGCGUGUUUGGGUGUGUUGAGGUUGUUGCGUGAAUUGCAUGGGUUUGCAACUGUGAUUGGUGUGAAGUUUAAUCUUGUGGUUUGCAAUGCAUUGAUUGAUGCUUAUGGGAAAUGUGGCAAGCCUGAGCACUCGUAUUCUGUUUUCUGUCAAAUGCACGAUACUGAUGUAUUCUCCUGGACUUCGAUGUUGGUUGCUUAUAUACGUGCAUCUAGAUUGGAAGAUGCAUGUUCACUUUUUGAUAGCAUGCCGGUCAGAAAUGUGGUGGCUUGGACUGCUUUGAUCAUGGGGUUUGCUCAGAAUGGAGAAGGAGAGAAGGCUUUGUGUAUUUUUAAGGAGAUGCUGGAAGAAGGUAUUGUGCCCAGUGCAUCCACUUAUGUUAGUGUUCUAAGUGCUUGUGCAGACAUACCUAUUAUAGAAAAAGGGAAGCAGGUUCAUGGACACAUUUUUAGAUAUACGUGUUUAAUUGAUUUGCAUAAUGUGUUUGUAGUUAAUGCUUUGAUUGACAUGUAUUGUAAAUGUGGAGACAUGAUAUCUUCUAUGACAUUGUUUGGGAGGUUAGAUGGGAAGGAUCGAGUUUCUUGGAACUCAAUAAUAAUUGGGUUUGCUCAAAAUGGGAAUGGAGAGAUGUCAUUGUUGAUGUUUGACAAAAUGAUUGAAGCAGGUAUAAAACCAAAUCAUGUAACUUUUCUUGGGGUUUUAUCUGCCUGUAGCCACUGUGGUUUACUAUCUGAAGGAUUCCACUAUCUUCAUUCAAUGGAGAGGGAAUACGGUACAGUGCCCCAAUUAGAUCACUAUGGGAUCUUGAUUGAUUUACUUGGACGGAAGAAUAGACUUUGGGAAGCUGCGGAAUUAAUCAAGGGAGCUCCUUGGGGAACAAACAAUAUUGGAAUGUGGGGCGCGCUUCUGGGUGCUUGCAGGGUACAUGGGAACUUAAAACUUGCUAGAAGGGCAGCAGAAGCUCUAUUUGAGCUGGAACCUGAUAAUGCUGCCAGGUAUAUUAUGUUAUCCAACAUCUAUGCAGCAGCAGGAAGGUGGGAUGAUGCCCGUAGUUUGCGAAGGUACAUGGAUAAUAGAGGAUUGGUGAAAGAUGCAGCUUACAGUUGGAUUGAGAUAAAAAACAUCAGACAUAAGUUUGUCGCCAAGGACCAGUCCCACAGUCGGUCAGAAGAAAUAAAAGAAUUGCUAACUAAACUCAUCGAUCCAAUGAAGGAUGUUGGAUACGUAUUUCAAACUGAAAGCUCAUACUUUCUUGAAGAUGAUGCAUUUUCUUGAUAUGAUUGAAAGAGGUUGUAACCAUGUGUACAGAGCUUUCUACUUUUAAUGACUAACUAUGAGCUUCGGUGCAAACCUGUCCUGCUGAAAUUUUGGGAAAGAAAAAAGUGAGGCAGAAUUUUUGUCUUUCCAGAUAUCAUCACUUAUCUUAAAGGUAAGAAACAUGACCAUCAGAUGCUAGGCACUAUAAUACAGUCCUUGCUGCUUGAAGUUUCAGAGAUGUUGAUGUUAUGAGCAGCAGAUAUAUCCAUCAUUAAUGUGCCGGUAACCAUCCACCUAUUUGGUGUACAGGUUGUUUGUUUGAAGAUCCCAUUUCCAGCGUCCAAAUGUUUCACUAGGGUGAAGUGGUAUUGAUGACAUGCCUAUUACUUCUCCUAAAUCACGAGAUAGUUAUAUCUGCAUUCUUUGACUUAAGCACAAAACCAGUCUGCUCAUAGUUCACUACAGCAGUAUGAAGAAGCUGGGAUAGGCUCACGGCCAAAUAUAAAGUCAACAGCUCUGAGGCACAAAAAAGGUGUUAAUUAAGAUGAUAGGAAAUAAGGUUCGUCAUCGCGUCCGUCAGGUCCGGCUUUCCAAAUUUCAGUAUAUAUAUUUGUGCUGAAAAGAAACAACAAGAUUGAAAAAAAAAAA